CUCCUACCGUGGCAGCGGGCUCGCCCGCUGUCCGACGAUCACGGCCCCCCUCACGGGGGGUACCCCCCACCCUUGUGUAUUAUACCUUUGUUGCUUUGGCGGGCCGCGUCAAGCCACCGGCUCACGCUGGUGAGCGCCCGCCAGAGGCCCCAACUCUUGAUUUUAUGAUGUCUGAGUACUAUAUAAUAGUUAAAACUUUCAACAACGGAUCUCUUGGUUCUGGCAUCGAUGAAGAACGCAGCGAAAUGCGAUAAGUAAUGUGAAUUGCAGAAUUCAGUGAAUCAUCGAAUCUUUGAACGCACAUUGCGCCCCGUGGUAUUCCGCGGGGCAUGCCUGUUCGAGCGUCAUUAUGACCAACAUCACGCCUCGCGUGGUCUUGGGGCUGGCAACUCUGCCGCCCUCAAACGCAGUGGCAGCGCCGCAUGGCUCUUAGCGUAGUAAUACUCCUCGCUAUAGGGUCCUACGGUUGCCCGCCAGCAACCCCCAAUCUUUACAGGUUGACCUCGG
rnacentral:rRNA from 1 species